CAGAGUACAUUGGGAAAAUUUUCUUAACUUAACUGCUUGACUUAAUUAUCUAAGAAUGUAUCUUUAUCAGAAAAUUUCAUUGUGG